AUGGAUUCCUCCUCCGCUUUCUCACAGCCCAAUUUCUACGAUUUUCUGAAUCGGAUGCGCCAUCCCGCCUCUGCCGAUCUCGUCCGUGCCAUCAAGAGCUUCAUUGUGUCCUUCUCAUUUCAUACAACUGAUGCUGAAAAUGAUAGUAGAAAGCUGCAAGACUUUCUUGUGACCAUGGAGAGUACUAUUAAAGAGCAUCCUUUAUGGGCUCAUGCUUCACAUGAAGAAAUAGAUAGUGCAGUUGAGGGUCUCGAAAAGUAUGUCAUGACAAAGUUGUUCAACCGCACAUUUGCUUCCUCUCCCGAGGAUGUAAAAGCAGAUCUAUACAUUUCAGAGAAAAUUCGCUUGCUGCAGCACUUUGUUAGGCCUGAUCACUUGGAUGUCCCUAGGGUUCUACGAAAUGAAGCAUCAUGGCUGUUUGCAGCAAAAGAACUGCAGAAGAUAAAUUCUUUCAAAGUUCCUCGUGAGAAGCUUCUCUGCAUUAUGAAUUGUUGUCGAAUCAUAAACAACUUACUGCUCAAUAUAUCAAUGUCAACCAAUUAUGUACCAGCAGGGGCUGAUGACUUCCUUCCAGUUCUUAUUUAUGUUACUAUCAAGGCCAAUCCUCCCCAGCUGCAUUCCAACCUGAAAUUUAUCCAGCUCUUUAGAAGGCAGUCAAAGCUUGUGUCAGAAGUGGAAUAUUACCUUACCAAUCUCAUCUCAGCAGAAACAUUUAUAACAAAUAUCAAUGCCAGUUCACUGUCCAUGGAAGAAAGUGAGUUUCAGGAGAAUAUGCAAUCAGCAAAAAUAGCCAAUGAAGAGACUGUCACUGGGCAUAGUAGUGUACUACAGUUAUCUGAAGAUGAUGCCACCACCAUGAGAAGGCAUGGCAAGGAGAUCCAUGUCAAUCUCGAAGGCUGCCUAUAUCCUUUCAUGGGCUCGGAGGCAAAAGAACUGACAACAGAGGAUGUUCAACAGCUGCUAAGGCUGUAUCAACAAGUGGUAACUAGGUAUACAAUGCUAACAAAGGCUCUGGCUCGACUCUCUCUACAUGAAGAACAGCUCUUGCAUAUCAUGAAAGACCCUGCAGGCAGCACUGAAUUAAAAAAAGAGAUCGAAAAAAGGAUCCAUGAAGGUGCAAAAUGAAAAUUUUACGGGAAAGAUUAACUUCUGCAUCAAGGAGAAGCAAAAAGUUUCAACCAUGGCAUUAAAAAUUAUUACAAGCACGCCAAAGCUGAGACUAUCAUCAGCUCUCAUACUACGCUACUCUAUGUACAUGCAGAUCAACACUUUACAAUAACAAAAUUAUCACCCUACGGUUGUCAUGCUACCAAAUCUGCCUGACUCAGUGAUGGAGGGUUCUAUUUCAUCCUUGCACCUCCCACUGGAGGUGUUACUUUUGAUUCUUCCACUGCUGCGGCCUUUAGACUUGCGUAUGCAGAUACACUUCUUACAAACAAACUUUGCCGGUACUUCGUCAUAAUCACUGAUCCCAGUACACCUUGUAUGCUGCCAGACCCCACAGCCUUUGGACAUCUCCAACACACCUUCCUCUGAUAAUGGCAAUUUCAUUUGAACCAAGUAUAUGCUUGACAAGAGUAAAGUCUCCAACAUCUCCACGGUCUAGUAUUAACUGCUCAACUUGGAACCUUUGGAAGAUGAGGUAUGUUUCUUGAAAAGCUCUUGUUGCUUGUUGCUUUAAGUCAGCUACAGUGGCAUAGAUAGGCAGAAUCAGAAGUUCUGGUGGGGAAGCAGUAUAAUCCUUUGGGUGGUCGAUCAACUCAACAUGGCACCAGAUCCGAAGCACAAGUGGACUAGAAGGCAACCAACUAGAAUCAAGAUCAUCAUAGUGCUUUAUGAAUUGCUUGCAGUCAAGCAGUUUUGAUGCUGAGCUGUGGGCAGAAUCAUUUGUGGCUUGUGGCUUGUAAGAUUGCAUGGUCGUGGGAUUAAGAAUGGCAUCAUACAAGAAUUUGAGAUCAUGGAGGAGCUGAUCAGCCAUUGGUCUGGAAAAGUAUGGCUUGUCCAUUGUCUGCCUUGGAGCUGCCUCAAGCCUGCAUUUUCCAGAAAAGGAAAAUAUGUACCAGCAAUCACAUUGCAUCGGACAGCAACAACCAUGUCAUUAUCAGUAACCUUACCGCCAAGUCCCUUAAGGCAAUAAUCAAGCAGCUCUGGGGAUUCUAUUGCCCGGCAUGUGGCUCCUCUAAGAGCACGCCAAGUCACCCACUUGAACCCCCCAACAGCUCGAAGAACCUUGAUCAUGGCCUUCUCUGCCUGCUCAACAUCUUCCCUUGUCCGCGCGCACAAAUCACCUGCGGUAGCUUUAGCCAAAUGCUUCCUCGUAAGAUUUUCAGGCUGUGCUUGCUCAUGAGCUUCAUGAAGCAGAUGCAUCACAUAGCAGAAGAGGUCCCUCACGGUCACUAAUUGACAGUCGGAGAUGGACUGAUAUAAUGCAAUUAUAUUCUGUAAUGGGGUGCGAGUAGACCGUGCAUGAGAGAAGAAGAUAGACAGUGGUACAUUAGAGAGGGUUGCCACAGCUCUGUGGUAGGCAUCGGCAGUCAGGGCGAAGCUGCCGGCACCAAAUUUGUAUCCCCAACCCGCAUACCAGGAAUGGCCAGCAGUUACAGCAUGCAGGAGCCGAUACUCCAUUCCGUACUUUUUGGAUAUAUCCAUAACGGUGACCUUUCUGUCAUCACAAAAAUGAUUGUUUGGUCACCAAACAAAAACAGGAUACUGGAAAAUUUUAGUUGGAACAAAGAGGUUCUUGUAGUUUCAUUUCUACAGAAAAUGCUUAUAGAAGUCAUAUAAUAUUACCAA